AACCCAGGAGCGGGAGUUUAUUGAAACCAAUGGAGAUCAAACAGGUGAGGAAUGUGAGGUAAGUAUGCAGGUACAUUAAUAGAUACUUUGAAGAGUCUUUAAAGGUUUAGUUCCCCCCAAAAUGAAAAUUCUGUGGACGUUUUCAAGAGGAUGUUUGACUGACAUGUAACGCAACCAAUUACAGUUCAUUUUGUUCACGUCAUGUUUAGGGGCGUGAAAAUGAAAGUCGAUGUCCCUACAAUAACAGACCGGCUUGCAUCUAAUAAAUUAUUCAUUCAAGAAUGUUGUGCAAGUUUACUGCAACAAUGGAGCUGCAAAAUUUACAUACUUUUGAAACUCCAGCAAUUUUUUUGUUCCUGGUAAGCACUCGUUGUCACAGUUGUAAACACAAUGGCGUUCUUCUUCUACGAGGGGAUUUGGCGUCAUGGCCUUUGUUUCUAGGCGGACCGUUAAAGAACGCAACACGCAUCUCCCGCACAUCCUGUAGAAUUUAACCAACCGAUGACGACUUCGAAACUCCUGAAGUGUUUCCAGUUAAGCUUGCCAUAUGCAUCAGACAUUCAGCCAACCGUCCAUGGGCGUGAUGUCUGAGGCUGAGACUAGGGGUGAACUAUCCCUUUAAGAAGUUCAGAAAACAUAAACAGAACGCGAUUCACCAAUCGCGAUGACAGGUAAGUGUCACAUGUCUUUUCUUUUCAAAUUAGGGACUUAAAAUCAAGAAAUCAAGUAAACGGAGUGCAAGUGAGCAAUUAAAAUAUAAAUCCAAACGAGAUGGUGAUUAGCUAUGGGUCUGUAUGAUUACAAUUCAGGCAAGUGAGAGCGGGUGACUGAAGGCGAGGGAGGUGUCUACAAUGUGCUGUGACUGAACCUCCACAUCCACCAAACUUUUAUCUAACAAUCCAUGGGGGAGUGGAGGGAGGAACGAGGAACCAGGGAGGAGAUGACAAUGGAAGGAGCCAGGGAGGAGAUGACUGUGGGAGAAGCCAGGGAAGAGACAAUGGUGGGAGGAGCCAGGGAGUGACCCCAAGCAGGAGCACCAGGAUGCGGGCCCACAGCAGAGUCGAAAGAAGGGAGGAGCCAUGGUUGAGCCUUGGUGGAGAUGCUAGGCGGAACCAGGGGGAUGACUGACUGAGGUGGAACUAGUGAAGAUGGAGACCCAGGCAGAUCCAAAGAGACUGGGUAACAAUGAAGGUUCUGGUGACCAAGGCAGAACUGCGGGGAGGAGCGGCCUUGGUGAAGACAGGGUACCAGAAGACUGAGGCGGAGCCAGUGCAACUAAGGACUGAAGUGAAGCCAGAAGGAAGGAGGAACCCAACAGAGCCAAAGGGGUAGAGGGAUGAGUCGCAGACAAAGGCCCGGAAGUGCAUGGCGAAGGCAGAGCAAUGACUGACCAAGGCGGAGCCAGAGGGACGAGGAAGCCCUGUAGAGCCGUAAGGAUGACGCUCCCAGGUGGAGCCGAGGAAGCAAGGAGCUGAGGUGGAGCCAACAGAUUGAUGGGCCAAGGUGGAGUGAUGGGCUUUAAGGUUAGAAGUGGAGCCAGAGGGUCAACACACCAGAAGCUGCUAGGUGUAGCCAGCAUAGGAGGAGUUGAAGGGCAGAAUGGAGCCAGCGGAGACAGGGCCAAAGAACUGGGUAGCAAAGGCAAAGGGUUUCAAGAUGGCCUUCUUGGAUAUGGCAGAGACUUCAGGAACAGCAGAGGAGGUGGGAGUGGGAGGCAGAGAGCAUCAACAACGAAAGAGACUUGGAGCUGGCCGACAAGCCACACAGCCACAGCACAGUACUGGCAUAGUACGCGACUCAGUAUUGGCCGACGCUGUUCAUAAAAUUAAGGUUGAACCACUGUAGUCAAGUGGACUAUUUUAACGAUUCUACCUUUCUUAGCCUUGAAAGUGGUAAUUAAAUUGCUGUCCAUGGAGGAGUCAGAGAGCUCUCAGAUUUCAUCAAAAAUAUCUUAAGUUGUGUUCUUAUGGGUCUUAUGGGUUUGGAACGACACGACGGUGAGUCAUUAAUGACAGAAUUUUCAUUUUUGGGUGAACUAACCUUUUAAAAGCACAGUCUUUUCAAGAAAUCAGGUAAACAAAACAUUAUUAAAGGUCUUUCAAAAUCCAAAAAUGGUAAGUAAUACAGGUAAGUAUCCAAUAAACAGUUUACAUAAUCACUUAUCUCUUUAACAGUUAUCUCAAUAAAAAUUGUCCAUCAACAGGUAAAAAAAACACACAGGUAAGGCUUUUCCAACAAAUAAUAGUGCAAAAUGUGAGUCCAUGUAACAUACAACAAGGCCAGACCCUGAUUGAGUGCAAAUGAAUGGUUUAAAUACAAGUCCAAACGAGAUGGUGAUUUGCUGCAGAACAAAGUACAGCCAGAGUGAUUAGAGAGCAGACGGCUCAGUAUGCUUUUAAAUUGCUCUUGCAGUACUUUGACAUCAUACACCGAUCAGUCUGCACAGUGCCGCUUCAAGUCGAACACACAUAAUAACCAGGUUCCACACAGAUUGUGCAUAUGCCAUAUGGUUUUGCUUGUCAUCUGCUCUUGUGACAGGAAUUGAAUGCACUAUUUAACGGGACCACUAGUUGGCAUCACUCACAGUUGAUUUGUUACUUUUAAGAACUAGUUGAAGAAGAGGAUGGAAAAUGCCAGAAAAUAAAAUAAAAACAACAAAAGACAAAGUUGAAAACAACAAAAAAUGGAAAUACAGUACAAGGAGGUUAGAUGUUGCGCUGAAAUACCAUUCACAAAGUUGUGAAACUUUAUAGUGAAUUUACUCCCAAGUGUUACGUUUGCUACUGUGAAAAGACGUUUACUCCUGAGAAACACUAAUAUUCUCAUUCACUGUUGUGGACUAGAUUGUCUUGAGACGUCGAGCUACGCUGUAUGUGGUGAACCUCCUGAUUCCCAGCAGCUUCUUGCUUUCUUUGGAUCUCUUCAGCUUCCUCCUGCCUCCUCAAAGUGUGGACCGUGCUUCCUUCAAAAUGACACUCAUCCUAGGUUACACCGUCUUCCUGCUACUAAUGAAUGACCUGCUGCCUGUCACUGGAAACAACUUACCUCUUAUAAGUAAUUAAACCUUCUUAUUCUCUACCUUUGCAUAUUUUCAGAAUCAGAAUCAGAAAGAGCUUUAUUGCCAAAUGUGCUUGCACACACAUGGAAUUUUUCUUGGUUCUGAAGCUUCCAGUGCACAUAAACAAUACAACAAGAAACACAAAUAUAAAACAGAUAAAAGUAUAAAGACACUAGAUUUAGUCCUAAUAAACAUUUACAGAUUAUGAAAAUAUUUACAGUAUUAUGAAUAAAUAUAAAUAUUAGCUGAGUUUGCAAAGAUAUUGCACUAAGCAGAGGGGUAUUGCACUUACAGGCAUAUGCCUUGGAAGGCAUUUAUCAGUUCAAGAGGGAAAUGGCCUCUUUUAUCUUCACCCUGCUGAAAAGGCCAGAUGGUCACCAGCAUACGUUGAUGGUUUCUAGAAUGGGAUGCUGGUGCAACCUACCCUUCACUGGAGCUGACCAGUGUAAUCAUGAAGAUGGCUCUGGUUAAUCAGCUUAAAACCGACAGUUGUAUGCAUGGAUUUUCAAAGUAUACUUUUAAUGUUUACGCUCAGAGGAGGUUGAAACGUGCAUUACAACAACUUGCACUCUGUGGACAGAAUGUUUCAUCCUUGCAACCUUGCCCAGUGUCUGUGCAAUUUCUCACAAUGAGUUAUAAGCCAAAUACACAUCUUGUUAAUAUUUUAGGCUAGAGUUGUACAAAUACGGGUACUUUCUAACCUCUUCGCACCUUGUGGACAAAUUAAUUAGUGCAAAAAAUAUUCAAUGCGCAUGUGUGGUUAGGACGCUAGUAUACAUGUAAAAAGUGAUGUGUACAUUGGGCUUAAGUUUUUCUGGUCUAGGUUGUAGCAAAACCUGCGUGAACUGCCUUUCUCAAAAGCAUCAUAGACCAUCAAAGGUGCUAAUGGUCUCUACAGUCUUCUACUGUACUUAUGCUUAAGAGGCUUUUGGGAAACACAGCCCAGGACUCUUUCAGAAGCAUAGGUAAUCCUUCUUCACCUCCAGCCUUAUCUGAUCUAAUCUUUCUCUCUCAAUCUAGAUGUGUUUUUCUCUCUCUGCAUGGCCUUGAUGGUAGCAAGUCUACUUGAGACUGUCCUCAUCACCAAUAUCUUGUGUGGUUCCCGUGACUUUCCUCCUUUACCUAAGUGGCUCAGGAUUCUGGUCCUGAAAUAUCUGGCUCAACUUGCUUGUAUGAAGAAAUCUUGUGAAGAAAACUCUGAAGGAAAUGGAUCUGAGAGCACUUUCUACAAAAACACCAUGACUGAUAUUCCAAAGAAAGAACAAGUUAGUGCAAGUCCAGUGAGAGUCUGGGAUCAAUGUCUAGAGGAAAUGAAGAAGAUGAGUAAAGAUUUAUUGGCCAUCCGCCAGCAAGUUGAAGAGCACUUCAGUAAUGACAACAGCACUGAUGAAUGGAUGAUGUUUGGUCAGGUCAUUGACCGUGUGCUCUUUAUACUGUAUACUGUCUUUAUUGUUGUGAGUUUAAGCACAAUUAUGGUUCUGUGGCUGCACUCGUACAGUCUAGACAAAAAGUCAUAGAAUAUUAUUGCCUGCUUUGCGAACUGAAGACACCAAAUGUCUGAUGAUGUCAAUGGGGCCCAGAUUUAUUUCUGAUGUAAUGCAAAGGAUCAUCAACAAAAUACCCUUUAUAGGUGCUUUAUGUGUCCUAAUACUUAUAAUUGCAUAGAAUUAUGGCACACUUUUCUGCUCUAGAAUUCAAAAAAUAUAUAUUUAAACUUAAUUUUUAACUUGAAUCUGACAUUUUGUUUUAUUUGUCUUAUUAGUUUUGGUACAGCAUGAAUAGCAAUUUUGAUUGUAGUCACUAUCCAGUUAAGUUUGAGGAAAACUUAUAAUAAAAAUAUCAACAAACUUU